GCCGGUGUAGCUCAGGCGGCAGAGCAACUGAUUCGUAAUCAGUAGGUCGGCGGUUCGACCCCGCCCAUCGGCU
rnacentral:tRNA from 1 species